UUGGAGGGCAAGUCUGGUGCCAGCAGCCGCGGUAAUUCCAGCUCCAAUAGCGUAUAUUAAAGUUGCUGCAGUUAAAAAGCUCGUAGUUGAAUUUCGGGACCAUCAUGUCGGUCGUGCCUCGGUACGUACUGGCAUUGUCGGUUUCUCCCUUCUGACGAACCAUGAUGUCAUUUAUUUGGUGUUGUGGGGAAUCAGGACUGUUACUUUGAAAAAAUUAGAGUGUUUAAAGCAGGCUCACGCUUGAAUACAUUAGCAUGGAAUAAUGAAAUAGGACGUUUGAUUCUAUUUUGUUGGUUUCUAGGAUCGACGUAAUGAUUAAUAGGGAUAGUUGGGGGCAUUAGUAUUCAAUUGUCAGAGGUGAAAUUCUUGGAUUUAUUGAAGACUAACUACUGCGAAAGCAUUUGCCAAGGAUGUUUUCAUUAAUCAAGAACGAAAGUUAGGGGAUCGAAGACGAUCAGAUACCGUCGUAGUCUUAACCAUAAACUAUGCCGACUAGGGAUCGGAUGAUGUUAAUUUUUUAAUGACUCAUUCGGCGCCUUACGGGAAAC
rnacentral:rRNA from 1 species